GAGGUGGAACGGCCAAGCACGAGGUGUCGCGAUGCAUGCGACCAGACAUGUGGAGGACGUGGUGUCAGCUUGCAUGGGAGAAGGCCAUGCAUUCAGACAGGUAGAGGGCGUCAUGUCAGCUUGCAUGUGAGCAGACCAUGCUGAAGGACAUGUGGAGCACGAGGUGCCGCCGCGCAUGUGUCCGGAGCCAUGCAAAGCGACACACGGGCUGCCACACGGCUUGUUCCUGAUUGGUCGCUGAUUCCUAUAAAUAGGCCACGACCCCCUCUCAUUUCAAACCAUCCAGAAAACAUCAAACCUACUUCAAAACAUAAAGAGAAAGCAAAGAAAGAA
rnacentral:lncRNA from 1 species